rnacentral:rRNA from 1 species
GAUUCAGUGAUCAUYGAAUCUUUGAACGCAUCUUGCGCCUUUUGGUAUUCCAAAAGGCACACCUGUUUGAGUGUCAUGA